UACGUAGGGGGCUAGCGUUGUCCGGAUUUAUUGGGCGUAAAGAGCGUGUAGGCGGCCAAGUAGGUCCGGUGUGAAAACUCGAGGCUUAACCUCGAGAUGUCAUCGGAAACCAUUUGGCUAGAGUCCGGAAGAGGAAAGUGGAAUUCCCGGUGUAGCGGUGAAAUGCGUAGAUAUCUGGAGGAACACCGGUGGCGAAGGCGACGUCCUGGACCGGCAUUGACGCUGAGGCGCGAAAGCCAGGGGAGCAAACGGG
rnacentral:rRNA from 1 species